GUGAAUCAUCAAAUUUUUGAACGCAAAUUGCACUCCCUGGUAUUCCGGGGAGUAUGCCUGUUUGAGGGUCGUUAGAAAACAAAUCGACGCUGCGCUCUUUUUUUUUAAGGGUGAUCGCGUCGGACUUGAGCAGUCUUUCUAAUGUAAAUUCAUGUCAAAGUAGCUUGAAGUUCAUCCAUCCGGUACGAUUAAAGCGUAUUUCAGAUCGACUUUGAUUA
rnacentral:misc_RNA from 1 species